rnacentral:rRNA from 1 species
UACGGAGGGGGCUAGUGUUGUUCGGAAUUACUGGGCGUAAAGGGCGCGUAGGCGCCUUCUAAGUCGAACGUGAAAUCCCCGGGCUCAACCCGGGAACUGCGUCCGAUACUGGAAGGCUUGAAUCCGGGAGAGGGAUGCGGAAUUCCAGGUGUAGCGGUGAAAUGCGUAGAUAUCUGGAGGAACACCGGUGGCGAAGGCGGCAUCCUGGACCGGCAUUGACGCUGAGGCGCGAAAGCCAGGGGAGCAAAGCGGG